GUGGGGAAUAUUCCGCAAUGGACGAAAGUCUGACGGAGCAACGCCGCGUGAGUGAUGAAGGUUUUCGGACUGUAAAGCUCUGUUGUUUGGGACGAAAGUGCCUGUUGCGAACAGUUACGGGUAUUGACGGUACUAAACGAGGAAGCCACGGCUAACUACGUGCCAGCAGCCGCGGUAAUACGUAGGUGGCAAGCGUUGUCCGGAAUUAUUGGGCGUAAAGAGCAUGUAGGCGGGAAUCUAAGUCUGUUGUUAAAAUGCGGGGCUCAACCCCGUAUGGCGAUGGAAACUGGGUUUCUUGAGUGCAGGAGAGGAAAGGGGAAUUCCCAGUGUAGCGGUGAAAUGCGUAGAUAUUGGGAGGAACACCAGUGGCGAAGGCGCCUUUCUGGACUGUGUCUGACGCUGAGAUGCGAAAGCCAGGGUAGCGAACGGGAUUAGAUACCCUUGUAGUCC
rnacentral:rRNA from 1 species